rnacentral:rRNA from 1 species
UACAGAGGGGGCAAGCGUUGUUCGGAAUUACUGGGCGUAAAGGGCGCGUAGGUGGCCUUCUAAGUUGAACGUGAAAUCCCUGGGCUCAACCCAGGAACUGCGUCCAAGACUGGGAGGCUUGAAUCCGGGAGAGGGAUGCGGAAUUCCAGGUGUAGCGGUGAAAUGCGUAGAUAUCAUCUGGAACGCCUGCGGUGAAAACGGCUCGCUGGGAGCAAUCUGACGCUGAGACACGAAAGCCAGGGGAGCGAACGGG